rnacentral:rRNA from 1 species
AGACGUCUACAUUAGAUACCCGCGUAGUCCCAGCCGUAAACUAUGCGCGUUAGGUGUAUCGGUGACCACGAGUUACCGAGGUGCCGAAGGGAAAUCGUGAAACGCACCACCUGGGAAGUACGGUCGCAAGGCUGAAACUUAAAGGAAUUGGCGGGGGAGCACCACAACAGGUGGAGCCUGCGGUUUAAUUGGAUUCAACGCCGGACAUCUCACCGGAUAAGACAGCUGAAUGAUUGUCAAUCUGAAGGUUUUACAUGACUAGCUG